rnacentral:lncRNA from 1 species
AUGACCAUUCAUCAUUCACUGCACCCUCGCAGUGAUGUUGACCGGCUAUAUCUGCCUAGAAGAUCAGGGGGCAGAGGACUCUUGCAAGUCAAACAAGCAGUCAAAGAAGAAGAACAUGCCCUGGCAGAAUAUGUCAAGCAAAGUGAAGAACCUGCUUUGAUUGAAGUCAAAAAUCAGAAACUCCUCAAAGCACAGCAGACAAAAAAACAGUACAAGAAAACCGCACUACAAACUAGAGCUUGGCACAACGAAACAUUGCAUGGAAAGUUCUUUGACAAAAUUGAAGGAAAAGCUGAUAAGGAGAAGACCUGGCUCUGGCUCACGAAUGGGACCCUGAAGAAGGAGACAGAAGGCCUGAUCCUUGCAGCCCAGGAGCAAGCCAUCAGAACAAAUGCAAUUAAGGCAAAGAUCGAAAAAUCAGCUGAUGACCCAAAAUGCAGACUGUGCAAGGAAACCGACGAAACCAUUGAUCAUCUCCUCAGCUGCUGUAAGAAAAUCGCACAGACAGACUACAAACAGAGGCACAACUAUGUGGCCCAAAUGAUUCAUUGGAACUUAUGCCUCAAGUACCACCUCCCUGCAGUAAAGAACUGGUGGGAUCACAAACCUGCAAAAGUAUUGGAAAAUGAGCACGCAAAGAUACUGUGGGACUUCCGAAUCCAGACUGACAAAGUUCUGGAACACAACUUACCAGACAUCACAGUUGUGGAAAAGAUAAAGAUUUGGAUCAUUGAUGUUGCCAUCCCAGGUGACAGUCGCAUUGACGAAAAACAACAGGAAAAACUCAGCCGCUAUCAGGACUUCAAGACUGAACUUCAAAGACUCUGGCAGACACCAGUACAGGUGGUCCCGGUGGUGAUGGGCACACUGGGUGCCGUGCCAAAAGAUCUCAGCCGGCAUUUGGAAACAAUAGACAUUGACAAAAUUAUGAUCUGCCAGCUGCAAAAGGCCACCCUACUGGGAUCUGCGCGCAUCAUCCGAAAAUACAUCACACAGUCCUAG